UUAUUAUGAGCGACCAUCAGUAGCCUGAACUGUGUCUGGAAAGUUUUGCAACAUCCUAUUACCAAAAACGAAAAGUUUCUUUCGCAUGUGUAAUUUUUUAUCAUGAUAAAAGGUCAACCCAGUGUAUGUGAUUUGUAAUCUAAGGGUGCAUGCGUUGUUGUAGUUGACAAGGUAGGCGUUUUACUACUAUACUUUUACACGAACUCUCGAGAUGACUCUUGACUCGUGAGUGACGUUGUGUGUUUCAGGAAACAGAAUGUGAGUGAUUAUUUAUUGGCUGGUUUGACAGCAUGUGGAAUUUAAUACAAGAAAUGUGCCUGUUUACAUUUUUUUGGGGGGGUUGGUCUUCAAAAAUAACUGUAUCAUGAUGUCAGUGCACAUGUGUGUCAUUCACAGUAUUUGCAUAAUCUUUGGCUAUCAAAACUUUCCAGAAUUGCAGUAAUCAAUUGGACAUGUUUUGGGGUUAAUCAUAUGUUGUAAAUAUUUUCAGGACGAUAUGACUAAAGGCAGAGUGGAAAUUGAAGAAAAUCAAGACAAAUCUUAAAAAUAGUUGUGAUAUUGUGAAUUACAUGUAAAUUUGUUUUUGUUACACAUGAUCUAUAUACUCUGUAAUAAAUGUGUCACUCAUCAUAAACAGAAAGGAAGUAUAUCAUUAAUAUAGUGUAUGGUGACUGUCUUGUACAUAGUUAAUAUGUUAUAUGUAAAUAAAAUAUGGAUAAUGA